CAUGGCCGCCUUGGUCGCGCAACCGCCGUGGAGCUUCCUCAGCGACCGGCGGAGCUCGACGUCCAGAGAGACGCUGGACCUGACACCAGCUAGUGCCCCCACGGCCACCACAGGGGUGGGGCAGAGGCCGGGACCAGAGAAGACCAGCUUCCACGCCUCACCAGCGUAUUCACUCUCACUGGGCCCACCCUGUGCUCCACUGGCAGUCGGUGGGGACGGCCUCUGACGGGACUACCAGCAGGAUGUCAAGAGAGCCAGGCAGAGGACGAGGUAAUGGUACCGGAGUUUAAAGGCGUGUGACGGUUCAAUUCUAUUCUCAUACCUGUCAGCAGAUUUCUGCGGCCUUUGUUUCACCUGAGAUAAGGUCUACCCGCUCCCUUUUUUUGGCCCUUUGUGAAUGAGAGAACCACGGGAUGGGACGCAGCUCAACACUGAGUCUCGGCUUAAAUCUCGCCUAGAGAUGCCUUCUCGAACCUCCCAGUUCAAGUAGCUCCACUUCUCGUCUCCACCAAGUUACCCGGUUUUAUUUUCCUCGUGACUCUCAGAACAUUUUCCUGUUAAUAUAUGUGUUUGUUGAUUAUCUGAUUUCUGCUUCUGAAUGUAAAUGCCUACAGGACAGAGACUUCGCCCCCACAAUAUCCCCAAGAGCCCAGAACAGUGCAAACACUUGGAUGAAUGAUUGACUGAACAAGGAAACCCCUCAAUAUAAUUCUCCUUUGCAGAUUUCCACCUUUGGCUAAUAGAGGGCAAGUUCAAAAUUCA